rnacentral:sRNA from 1 species
ACAAAAACCAAUCUAUAUCCAUUAACAUAUACUGGUAAUGCGACUGAAGAACAAACAGACCUCUACUCCCAAUUGUAAAGCCAGUACCAGUAUUUGCUCAAACUAUUCAGGGUGAAGUCUAGAAUGCAGCAAAGAAUGUGUCUACAAUUUCCACAAAGAUACCAACAUAAUUUUUUUUACAAAAUUGUACAGUUCUGUAAUCAGUCUAUAUCAGGGAUGUAUAUAUACCUCCCUUGUUUAUAUAGAAACUACACCUAAGAUUUAGCAGUAGUUAUUAAGUUUGAUUCACCUUUACCUAUUUUACAUUGUAAAAUGAGAUAUACAAUAACCAAAUAAACUGUGAUGUCUUAUU